GAGUUUGAUCCUGGCUCAGGACGAACGCUGGCGGCGUGCCUAACACAUGCAAGUCGAACGGAUCUGUAUUGAAACCUAGUGAUAUACAGGUUAGUGGCGGACGGGUGAGUAACGCGUGGAUAACCUGCCGUAUACCGGGGGAUAACACUUAGAAAUAGGUGCUAAUACCGCAUGAGCGCACAGCUCCGCAUGGAGCAGUGUGAAAAACUCCGGUGGUAUACGAUGGAUCCGCGUCUGAUUAGCCAGUUGGCGGGGUAACGGCCCACCAAAGCGACGAUCAGUAGCCGGCCUGAGAGGGUGAACGGCCACAUUGGGACUGAGACACGGCCCAAACUCCUACGGGAGGCAGCAGUGGGGGAUAUUGGACAAUGGGGGGAACCCUGAUCCAGCGACGCCGCGUGAGUGAAGAAGUAUUUCGGUAUGUAAAGCUCUGUCAGCAGGGAAGAAAGCAAUGACGGUACCUGACCAAGAAGCCCCGGCUAACUACGUGCCAGCAGCCGCGGUAAUACGUAGGGGGCAAGCGUUAUCCGGAAUUACUGGGUGUAAAGGGAGCGUAGACGGCUGUGCAAGUCUGGAGUGAAAGGCGGGGGCCCAACCCCCGGACUGCUCUGGAAACCGUAUGGCUGGAGUGCAGGAGAGGUAAGCGGAAUUCCUAGUGUAGCGGUGA
rnacentral:rRNA from 1 species